rnacentral:rRNA from 1 species
CCUACGGGAUGCAGCAGUGGGGAAUCUUGCACAAUGGGGGGAACCCUGAUGCAGCGACGCCGCGUGAGUGAAGAAGUAUUUCGGUAUGUAAAGCUCUGUCAGCAGGGAAGACAAUUACGGUUCCUGACUAAGAAGCCCCGGCUAACUACGUGCCAGCAGCCGCGGUAUUACGUAGGGGGCAAGCGUUAUCCGGAUUUAAUGGGGGUAAAGGGAGCGCAGACGGCUGUGCAAGUCUGGAGUGAAAGGUGGGGGCCCAACCUCCGGACUGCUCUGGAAACUGUAAAGCUGGAGUGCAGGAGAGGUAAGCGGAAUUCGUAGUGUAGCGGUGAAAUGCGUAGAUAUUAGGAGGAACACCAGUGGCGAAGGCGGCUUACUGGACUGCAACUGACGUUGAGGCUCGAAAGCGUGGGGAGCAAACAGGAUUAGAUACCCCGGUAGUC